rnacentral:tRNA from 1 species
CGGAACGCAGCUCAGUCUUUAGAGCACCCGGCUUGGGACCGGGAGGCCACAGGUGGAAAUCCUGCCGUUCCGUGCCA